UACACAAGUGGUUUUUUUUGUUACAUGGAUGAAUUAUAUAGUGGUGAAUUCUGAGAUUUUAUUGCACCUGUCACCCAACUGGGAGAUUGCAAGCAA